AUUGAACGCUGGCGGCAGGCUUAACACAUGCAAGUCGAGCGGAGAUGAGGUGCUUGCACCUUAUCUUAGCGGCGGACGGGUGAGUAAUGCUUAGGAAUCUGCCUAUUAGUGGGGGACAACAUUCCGAAAGGAAUGCUAAUACCGCAUACGUCCUACGGGAGAAAGCAGGGGAUCUUCGGACCUUGCGCUAAUAGAUGAGCCUAAGUCGGAUUAGCUAGUUGGUGGGGUAAAGGCCUACCAAGGCGACGAUCUGUAGCGGGUCUGAGAGGAUGAUCCGCCACACUGGGACUGAGACACGGCCCAGACUCCUACGGGAGGCAGCGGCGGGGAAUAUUGGACAAUGGGGGGAACCCUGAUCCAGCCAUGCCGCGUGUGUGAAGAAGGCCUUAUGGUUGUAAAGCACUUUAAGCGAGGAGGAGGCUACUGAGACUAAUACUCUUGGAUAGUGGACGUUACUCGCAGAAUAAGCACCGGCUAACUCUGUGCCAGCCGCCGCCGUAAAAC
rnacentral:rRNA from 1 species